rnacentral:rRNA from 1 species
AUACGUAGGGUGCAAGCGUUAAUCGGAAUUACUGGGCGUAAAGCGUGCGCAGGCGGUUUUGUAAGACAGUGGUGAAAUCCCCGGGCUCAACCUGGGAACUGCCAUUGUGACUGCAAGGCUGGAGUGUGGCAGAGGGGGAUGGAAUUCCGCGUGUAGCAGUGAAAUGCGUAGAUAUGCGGAGGAACACCGAUGGCGAAGGCAAUCCCCUGGGCCUGCACUGACGCUCAUGCACGAAAGCGUGGGGAGUAAACAGGAUUAGAUACCCUGGUAGUCCACGCCCUAAACGAUGUCAACUGGUUGUUGGGGAUUUAUUUUCUCAGUAACGAAGCUAACGCGUGAAGUUGACCGCCUGGGGAGUACGGCCGCAAGGUUAAAACUUAAAGGAAUUGACGGGG